UACGUAGGGUGCGAGCGUUGCCCGGAAUUAUUGGGCGUAAAGAGCUCGUAGGCGGUCUGUCGCGUCUGCUGUGAAAACUCAGGGCUUAACCCUGAGCUUGCAGUGGGUACGGGCAGACUAGAGUGCGGUAGGGGAGACUGGAAUUCCUGGUGUAGCGGUGAAAUGCGCAGAUAUCAGGAGGAACACCGGUGGCGAAGGCGGGUCUCUGGGCCGUAACUGACGCUGAGGAGCGAAAGCAUGGGGAGCGAACAGG
rnacentral:rRNA from 1 species